rnacentral:lncRNA from 1 species
GAUUGUCUCGAUCGCGUUGGGUGCUCCGAGUUCUGUGCCGCCUACAGGAUUAAAGCUUGGCAAGAGAGCGCCCCACGGUCGUCUUGGAGUGCCUUGUGAGACGGGACCGGGGAGUGGCAGGAGUAAGGAUGUUCUUGAUAGCGUUGGCGGUACUGGGGGUCCUAUCCUCCCCUGGCGCAGAUGCGAGAGAAGCGCGGUGGUUCUGGGACGAUGCCUAUCCAGCGCAGCAGCCAGCGAAAGUGUCCCCGGACAACACCCCCGUCGAGCACCUCUACGAAGAAGGAAGGAGGAGGAACAACAGGAGAGGAGACACCAGAGAUGUGACCAUGAGGC